rnacentral:rRNA from 1 species
AGAGUUUGAUCCUGGCUCAGGAUGAACGCCGGCGGUGUGCCUAAUACAUGCAAGUCGUACGCACUGGCCCAACUGAUUGAUGGUGCUUGCACCUGAUUGACGAUGGAUCACCAGUGAGUGGCGGACGGGUGAGUAACACGUAGGUAACCUGCCUCGGAGCGGGGGAUAACAUUUGGAAACAGAUGCUAAUACCGCAUAACAACAAAAGCCACAUGGCUUUUGUUUGAAAGAUGGCUUUGGCUAUCACUCUGGGAUGGACCUGCGGUGCAUUAGCUAGUUGGUAAGGUAACGGCUUACCAAGGCAAUGAUGCAUAGCCGAGUUGAGAGACUGAUCGGCCACAAUGGAACUGAGACACGGUCCAUACUCCUACGGGAGGCAGCAGUAGGGAAUCUUCCACAAUGGGCGCAAGCCUGAUGGAGCAACACCGCGUGAGUGAAGAAGGGUUUCGGCUCGUAAAGCUCUGUUGUUGGAGAAGAACGUGCGUGAGAGUAACUGUUCACGCAGUGACGGUAUCCAACCAGAAAGUCACGGCUAACUACGUGCCAGCAGCCGCGGUAAUACGUAGGUGGCAAGCGUUAUCCGGAUUUAUUGGGCGUAAAGCGAGCGCAGGCGGUUGCUUAGGUCUGAUGUGAGAGCCUUCGGCUUAACCGAAGAAGUGCAUCGGAAACCGGGCGACUUGAGUGCAGAAGAGGACAGUGGAACUCCAUGUGUAGCGGUGGAAUGCGUAGAUAUAUGGAAGAACACCAGUGGCGAAGGCGGCUGUCUGGUCUGCAACUGACGCUGAGGCUCGAAAGCAUGGGUAGCGAACAGGAUUAGAUACCCUGGUAGUCCAUGCCGUAAACGAUGA